rnacentral:rRNA from 1 species
GACGAACGCUGGCGGCGUGCUUAACACAUGCAAGUCGAACGGAAAGGCCCUGCUUUUGUGGGGUGCUCGAGUGGCGAACGGGUGAGUAACACGUGAGUAACCUGCCCUUGACUUUGGGAUAACUUCAGGAAACUGGGGCUAAUACCGGAUAGGAGCUCCUGCUGCAUGGUGGGGGUUGGAAAGUUUCGGCGGUUGGGGAUGGACUCGCGGCUUAUCAGCUUGUUGGUGGGGUAGUGGCUUACCAAGGCUUUGACGGGUAGCCGGCCUGAGAGGGUGACCGGCCACAUUGGGACUGAGAUACGGCCCAGACUCCUACGGGAGGCAGCAGUGGGGAAUAUUGCACAAUGGGCGGAAGCCUGAUGCGGCAACGCCGCGUGCGGGAUGACGGCCUUCGAGUUGUAAACCGCUUUCGACUGUGACGAAGCGUGAGUGACGGUAAUGGGUAAAGAAGCACCGGCUAACUACGUG